rnacentral:rRNA from 1 species
UACAGAGGGUGCGAGCGUUAAUCGGAAUUACUGGGCGUAAAGCGCGCGUAGGCGGCUUUUGCAAGCCGGAUGUGAAAAUCCCCCGGGCUUAACCUGGGAACUGCAUUCGGGACUGCAUUGCUAGAGUAUGGGAGAGGGAAGUGGAAUUUCAGGUGUAGCGGUGAAAAUGCGCAGAUAUCAGGAGGAACACCAAUAGCGAAGGCAGCUCGCUGGGACGGUACUGACGCUAAGGCGCGAAAGCGUGGGGGAGCGAACAGG